rnacentral:rRNA from 1 species
UCAGGAUGAACGCUAGCGGCAGGCCUAAUACAUGCAAGUCGAGGGGUAUAGUGGAUUCGUCUGCUAGAGACCGGCGCACGGGUGCGUAACGCGUAUGCAACCUGCCCUUUACACGGGGAUAGCCCUCCGAAAGGAGGAUUAAUACCCGAUGGUACUUAAGGAUGACAUCGUUUUUAAGUUAAAGAUUUAUCGGUAAAGGAUGGGCAUGCGUCUGAUUAGCUAGUUGGGGGGGUAACGGCCCACCAAGGCGACGAUCAGUAGGGGUUCUGAGAGGAUGAUCCCCCACACCGGUACUGAGACACGGACCGGACUCCUACGGGAGGCAGCAGUAACGAAUAUUGGUCAAUGGAG